AGAGUUUGAUCCUGGCUCAGAUUGAACGCUGGCGGCAUGCCUUACACAUGCAAGUCGAACGGUAACAGGGAGCUUGCUCCGCUGACGAGUGGCGAACGGGUGAGUAAUAUAUCGGAACGUACCUUUGAGUGGGGGAUAACUAGUCGAAAGAUUAGCUAAUACCGCAUACGAUCUACGGAUGAAAGUGGGGGAUCGCAAGACCUCAUGCUCAUAGAGCGGCCGAUAUCUGAUUAGCUAGUUGGUGAGGUAAAGGCUCACCAAGGCUUCGAUCAGUAGCUGGUCUGAGAGGACGACCAGCCACACUGGGACUGAGACACGGCCCAGACUCCUACGGGAGGCAGCAGUGGGGAAUUUUGGACAAUGGGGGCAACCCUGAUCCAGCAAUGCCGCGUGAGUGAAGAAGGCCUUCGGGUUGUAAAGCUCUUUUGUCAGGGAAG
rnacentral:rRNA from 1 species